rnacentral:rRNA from 1 species
GAUGAACGCUGGCGGCGUGCCUAAUACAUGCAAGUCGAGCGAAUGGAUUAAGAGCUUGCUCUUAUGAAGUUAGCGGCGGACGGGUGAGUAACACGUGGGUAACCUGCCCAUAAGACUGGGAUAACUCCGGGAAACCGGGGCUAAUACCGGAUAACAUUUUGAACCGCAUGGUUCGAAAUUGAAAGGCGGCUUCGGCUGCCACUUAUGGCGGGACCCGCGUAGCAUUAUCUAGUUGGUGAGGGAACGGCGCACAAAGGCAAAGAUGCGUAGCCGACCGGAGAGGGUGAUCGGCCACCCUGGGACUGAGACACGGCCCAGACUCCUACGGGAGGCAGCAGUAGGGAAUCUUCCGCAAUGGACGAAAGUCUGACGGAGCAACGCCGCGUGAGUGAUGAAGGCUUUCGGGUCGUAAAACUCUGUUGUUAGGGAAGAACAAGUGCUAGUUGAAUAAGCUGGCACCUUGACGGUACCUAACCAGAAAGCCACGGCUAACUACGUGCCAGCCGCCGCCGUAA